ACCUCGGUGGUGUAGUGGUAGCACACGUCUCCGGUAUAGAUGAAGCAGGGUUCGACUUCUGUCUGAGGGU